AGUGACAGAGUUAGGGAGGGAAGGGGUGACUAGUGACAGAGUGAGGAAGGGGGUGAUUAGGGACAGAGUGAGGGAGGUUGUGACUAGUGACUAGUGACAGUCACCACCUCCCUCACUUUGUCACUAGUCACCACCUCCCUCACUCUGUCACCAGUCAUCCCCUCACUUUGUCACCAGUCAUCCCCUCACUCUGUCACUAGUCACCCCUUCCCUCACUCUGUCACCUGUCACCCCUUCACUCUAGUGACA